rnacentral:rRNA from 1 species
GCUGCAAUGCAGUCUACAGGAUUCAGUUUGUCGGUGGUGCAUCGAGUGGUAAACGAUCGCAAGACGUGAACUAUUCGUUUGUACCUAUCGGUGAAUGUAUUUUCUGUGGACGAGCGUCACGACCGAUUGACCUGCUAACAGAAAGGUGGAAUGUUUGUGGACUGAUGCCUUCGGGCGUCAGUGACCCGGCAACCACUCUGUUUGAGUCAGGACGAUCGAGAAAAGACCGCGUCGGAUUUUCGCAUGUGUAUUGUGCAUAUGGACUGAAUUUUAACUUGUAAUUCAUGCUUGCAUGAUUUGCAGACCCUCGGUUCAGACUGCCUUUACACGUUGCAUUGACGCAUAUGGUCAGUGGCGUCUGUGUCAGUUACCCACCCGACCCGUCUUGAAACACGGACCAAGGAGUCUAACAUGUGCGCGAGUCAUUGGGUUAAAAACCCAAAGGCGUAAUGAAAGUGAAGCAUAGUGGGAUUCCUUGUCUUCGGACUUGGACGCACCACUGUCCCGUCUGAUCUGCAUGUCANAUAGGCGGAGAAUGAGCGUACACGUUGGGACCCGAAAGAUGGUGAACUAUGCCUGAGCAGGAUGAAGCCAGAGGAAACUCUGGUGGAAGUCCGUAGCGGU